AUACAGGCUUUGAGCAAAAGAAUUCAUCUAUAUUUACCAGAGAGAAAACAAAACGCUGAGAGUUUUCAACCAGAUGAAGUGUAGUUUGUGAGCCGUUAUCCCGAAAUAGGAGUAAGGAUAACCGGAAAUUUUAAUUCCGUUAAAAAAGAAGUAAGUGGGGUUUAAAAGCCCAAAUUAGGUGGUACCGCGAAGCAUAUUCGUCCUUUUG
rnacentral:ncRNA from 1 species